rnacentral:rRNA from 1 species
UAGGGAAUCUUCCACAAUGGACGCAAGUCUGAUGGAGCAACGCCGCGUGAGUGAAGAAGGUUUUCGGAUCGUAAAGCUCUGUUGUUGGUGAAGAAGGAUAGAGGCAGUAACUGGUCUUUAUUUGACGGUAAUCAACCAGAAAGUCACGGCUAACUACGUGCCAGCAGCCGCGGUAAUACGUAGGUGGCAAGCGUUGUCCGGAUUUAUUGGGCGUAAAGCGAGCGCAGGCGGAAUGAUAAGUCUGAUGUGAAAGCCCACGGCUCAACCGUGGAACUGCAUCGGAAACUGUCAUUCUUGAGUGCAGAAGAGUAGAGUGGAAUUCCAUGUGUAGCGGUGGAAUGCGUAGAUAUAUGGAAGAACACCAGUGGCGAAGGCGGCUCUCUGGUCUGCAACUGACGCUGAGGCUCGAAAGCAUGGGUAGCGAACAGG